GCCCUGGUAGUGUAGUGGCCUAUCAUGAUGCCCUGUCGCGGCAUCGACCCGAGUUCAAAUCUCGGCCAGGGCG
rnacentral:tRNA from 1 species